rnacentral:rRNA from 1 species
AGUGAACGCUGGCGGUAGGCUUAACACAUGCAAGUCGAACGGCAGCACAGUAAGAGCUUGCUCUUACGGGUGGCGAGUGGCGGACGGGUGAGGAAUACAUCGGAAUCUACUUUUUCGUGGGGGAUAACGUAGGGAAACUUACGCUAAUACCGCAUACGACCUACGGGUGAAAGCAGGGGAUAUUCGGACCUUGCGCGAUUGAAUGAGCCGAUGUCGGAUUAGCUAGUUGGCGGGGUAAAGGCCCACCAAGGCGACGAUCCGUAGCUGGUCUGAGAGGAUGAUCAGCCACACUAGAACUGAGACACGGUCCAUAGGCCUACGGGAGGGAGCAGUGGGGAAUGUUGGACAAUGGGGGCAAGCCUGAUCCAGCCAUACCGAGUGGGUGAAGGAGGCCUUCGGGUUGUAAAGCCCUUUUGUUGGGAAAGAAAAGCAUCAGGUUAAUACCCCGCGGUUCUGACGGUACCCAAAGAAUAAGCACCGGCUAACUUCGUG